ACUGAGUCUCAAGGAAAGGUCGUCUUGGAGUUUCUGAAGCAAUCUGAUUCACUGAAGCAAAAACAAGCUCUCGGUUAUAACAGAGGAUGUUCCUUUCCCAUGGAAGGAGAGAAGAACUGCAUUCAAGAAAAAACCUUCAAGACAGCUGAAGCCACACAAAAAAAAUGCCAUUGUAUCAUCUGAGAGGACAGAGAAAAGGAGCUUCUUUCAGCGUGAUGGAGUUCUUUGACUGAGAAUGUUUCACUGAUCUUGAAAUAUGGAGUAUUUUGUCAUCACUAAGACUUAUGCAUCUCUCCUAAAACAGUCAACAGCCAAGCUCCUGCUCACAAAACUGAAAUGUUCAA
rnacentral:lncRNA from 1 species